GCAAACUUGGUCAUUUAGAGGAAGUAAAAGUCGUAACAAGGUCUCCGUUGGUGAACCAGCGGAGGGAUCAUUAAAGAGUUUUGAUAACUCCCAAAACCCAUGUGAACUUACCUUCUGUUGCCUCGGCGGGUCGUAUCUACCCUGUGGCCUCCUACCCUGUAGGAGGACUACCUGGUAGUCACGGGUAUGCCUGCCAAUGGCCCAUUAAACUCUGUUAAGUAUAUGUUAUUCUGAAUUUAUAACUAAAUAAGUUAAAACUUUCAACAACGGAUCUCUUGGUUCUGGCAUCGAUGAAGAACGCAGC
rnacentral:misc_RNA from 1 species